rnacentral:rRNA from 1 species
GACGAACCGUGCAAACGUUGUUCGGAUUCACUGGGCUUAAAGGGCGCGUAGGCGGGUGGUCAAGUCAGGGGUGAAAUCUUUCAGCUCAACUGGAAAACAGCUUCUGAUACUGGCCAUCUUGAGGGAGGUAGGGGCAUGUGGAACUUCCGGUGGAGCGGUGAAAUGCGUAGAUAUCCAGCGGAACUCCGGUGGCGAAGGCGAGGUGCUGGACCCUUUCUGACGCUGAGGCGCGAAAGCCAGGGGAGCAAACGGG